rnacentral:rRNA from 1 species
UACGUAGGGUGCAAGCGUUGUCCGGAAUUAUUGGGCGUGAAGAGCUCGUAGGCGGUUUGUCGCGUCUGCUGUGAAAACUCGGGGCUUAACCCCGGGCCUGCAGUGGGUACGGGCAGACUAGAGUGCGGUAGGGGAGACUGGAAUUCCUGGUGUAGCGGUGAAAUGCGCAGAUAUCAGGAGGAACACCGGUGGCGAAGGCGGGUCUCUGGGCCGUAACUGACGCUGAGGAGCGAAAGCGUGGGGAGCGAACAGG